GAGUUAUGGCAGUUGCCAUCUUCUGUUAGUCUGAGAGGUAUUCAAAAGUUGUUUUCCUUCCAGCAGUGAAUGACAAAGAGGUGUAAUUCACUACAUAUACAAAUAAGUAUAUAUAAAUGCAUAUUUCUUGGUGGCUAGUAA